rnacentral:rRNA from 1 species
CCUACGGGAGGCAGCAGUGGGGAAUAUUGCACAAUGGGGGAAACCCUGAUGCAGCGACGCCGCGUGAGUGAAGAAGUAUUUCGUUAUGUAAAGCUCUAUCAGCAGGGAAGAAAAUGACGGUACCUGUGUAAGAAGCCCCGGCUAACUACGUGCCAGCAGCCGCGGUGAUACGUAGGGGGCAAGCGUUAUCCGGAUUUACGGGGUGUAAAGGGAGCGUAGACGGCAGUGCAAGUCUGGAGUGAAAGGCGGGGGCUCAACCCCCGGACUGCACUUGAAACUGUACGGCUGGAGUGCAGGAGAGGUAAGUGGAAUUCCUAGUGUAGCGGUGAAAUGCGUAGAUAUUAGGAGGAACACCAGUGGCGAAGGCGGCUUACUGGACUGUAACUGACGUUGAGGCUCGAAAGCGUGGGGAGCAAACAGGAUUAGAUACCCUUGUAGUC